rnacentral:sRNA from 1 species
AGGGUGAUCUGGCUCUGCAUCUGCCACCCCAUCAAUGGCCUGGGUUAAUUCUGGUGAUCUGGCUGGCCAGGUGAGUGUCCCCCUCCUCCCU